rnacentral:rRNA from 1 species
CAAGAGUGUAUAUUAAAGUUGCUGCGGUUAAAAAGCUCGUAGUUGGAUUUCAGUCUAGGAAGGUUAACUCGCCGAAAGGUUGUACGUUGAUUUUCCUCAGACUUCGUCAGAAGCUCGUGCUGCACUUAACUGUGUGGUACGAUGUUCUGACCUUUUACCUUGAGGAAAGUAGAGUGUUUCAGGCAGGCUACCCAGCUUGAAUACAUUAGCAUGGAAUAAUGAAAUGGAUCUCGGUUCGAUUUCGUUGGUUCUAGAGCUGAGGUGAUGAUCAAUAGGAACAGGCGAAGGUAUUCGUACUUGAGAGUGAGGAGUGAAAUCCGAUGAUCUCUUAAAGACGAUCCGAGGCGAAAGCAUUUGUCAAGGAUGUUUUCAUUGA